UCUCGAUUGGUCUAGUGGUUAGGAUACCUGCUUGUCACGACGACAAUUCGCAGGUGGCCGGGGUUCGAUUCCCCGAUCGAGAG